rnacentral:tRNA from 1 species
GGCCACGUGGCCUAAUGGAUAAGGCGUCUGACUUCGAAUCAGAAGAUGGCGAGAUCGUGUCUUGUUGUGGUCG